CCGUAACUUCGGGAGAAGGAGUGACUUUUGAUGGGCAACCAUUAAUAGUCGACACAAAAUCGAAGACAGCAACUAUUUAGUAAAAAUACAGGUCAUUGCUAACUCGUAAGAGGACGUAUAAUGACUGACACCUGCCCGGUGCUAAUCGUAUAAGGGGAGAAGUCUUGGCUUCAAACUGAAAUCCUAGUAAACGGCGGCUAUAACUCUGAUGGUCCUAAGGUAGCG
rnacentral:rRNA from 1 species